rnacentral:lncRNA from 1 species
GCUAGAUUCCAAACAAAGGCACUCUGAGCCAGCAAGAUAUAGAAUGAGAGUCAUCAGCCUACAGAGGCUGUAUGCUCUCAGGCUCCUCUUUCAAAGUGAAAACUACCUUGUCUUUUUCUUUUUUUACAAUGGAGUUUCAUCAGAAAUAAUCAAGUUUGAAGUUCCUGAAAGUUAUUCAUUUAUUGGAUUCGACUUUCCACCCUUCCCUUGGAUUCCAGGAGCCAGGUCAAGACAGUGAGCUCUCAUGGAAAAUUAAGUACAUUUGCAAAGAAUAAACGCUGGCAUGAAAGCCCUCAUAUGAGAAUAUCGAGUGAGUCCUUUCUCAGACUGUGCAUUGACAUUGCCACCAACAUUACUGAGGCCUCAGUCUGGGACUGGAAGACUGUUUCUAUGAGCCUAUGGCAGUGCAACAGUAUGGGAACCAGUGACAAAGAAGAGCUGGUCCUUCACGGUGGCCAGGAGGCACCAAAAGGAGAGAAUGGAGACACUGAAGGAAGGAAUCAAAGCAGAAGAAUGUAAAAUCAAGAACUGCGACAGGAUAAAGCCACGAGUACAUCUUGUGACCUCAAGACCUAUGCUGACAACUCUAAAGGAGAAACAAAAGCCUUUGACCUUUUAAGGUAUUUUCAGAGUAAGAGUGUUUGCACUCUUCUCUGGAAUGAAUCACAUGACCUUCAGCACAACAGUGACAUCACCUGCAAGUCAGCUUUGGUAAUCACAGGAAAGAAUGCUUUCGAAGUGUACCUGUGUAUGUAAACACAUGCAUUUGUUUGUUGUCAAAGAAGCAGAGGAUUCCAUAUAUUCUUGCAGGUUUUGUCACAUGCCAGUUCUUGGAGAACAAUG